UGCUACAAUGGCGCAUACAAAGAGAAGCGACCUCGCGAGAGCAAGCGGACCUCAUAAAGUGCGUCGUAGUCCGGAUUGGAGUCUGCAACUCGACUCCAUGAAGUCGGAAUCGCUAGUAAUCGUGGAUCAGAAUGCCACGGUGAAUACGUUCCCGGGCCUUGUACACACCGCCCGUCACACCAUGGGAGUGGGUUGCAAAAGAAGUAGGUAGCUUAACCUUCGGGAGGGCGCUUACCACUUUGUGAUUCAUGACUGGGGUGAAGUCGUAACAAGGUAACCGUAGGGGAACCUGC
rnacentral:rRNA from 1 species